rnacentral:rRNA from 1 species
CAUGCCGAACUCAGAAGUGAAACGCCGUAGCGCCGAUGGUAGUGUGGGGUCUCCCCAUGCGAGAGUAGGGAACUGCCAGGCAU